UACGAAGGGGGCUAGCGUUGCUCGGAAUCACUGGGCGUAAAGCGCACGUAGGCGGCUUUCUAAGUCAGGGGUGAAAUCCUGGAGCUCAACUCCAGAACUGCCUCUGAUACUGGAGAGCUUGAGUCCGGAAGAGGUGAGUGGAACUCCGAGUGUAGAGGUGAAAUUCGUAGAUAUUCGGUGGAACACCAGUGGCGAAGGCGACUCGCUGGACUGAUACUGACGCUGAGGUGCGAAAGCGUGGGGAGCAAACAGG
rnacentral:rRNA from 1 species